GUACUUUCCACAUUGAAGACCGAAUAUAUAUGGCGAGGACUGACAAUAUCAUUAUCAGUCAGUCCUCGCCAUAUAUAUUCGGUCUUCAAUGUGGAAAGUAC